UCCCCCGCAACCGGGACGCGACGGGACGGGACGGGGGGAAAGACCCGAGUCACGGCCUGGAGCCCGUGAGGGCAGGGAGGGGGAAGUACCUCCCGUCUCGGGCAGGGUACCUCGCGCUCCGUCAGGGACGGGCUCCAAUGGCAGAUGCCUUCCUCGUUUCAGCCCACUUGGAAUGCAGAGGUCUAUGUAAAUAUACCCCCUGACUGCAGCUGCUGUGGAAAAAGAAGAAAUUAUAAGGAAGGAAAGAAGGGGAGAUGAUGUCAAGCUUUGACAAGAUGAAAAUCAUUCUGGAGCUUUCAAUGACUGCCCAUUACAUUUCUAAGUAUUAAAAAUAUGCUGGAAAAAGAAAAAUUUAAAUGUAAAUUUGGACCGUUCAGAAGCAUUCUACUACUAUUUUACUAGGAUUCAGGAAGGCACUUGAAAACAUGUCUGCAGGAAAAUCGACUGUACCAAAUGUCUUUAGAUAGGAACAUUUAAAAGAAGAAAAUGCAUGAGAAAAGAAAGAGAGGCAAAGACUUGUUGAGAUUUUUCAGGCUCCAGUGUCAUGGCAGUUUUGAAGAUACAGAUCAACAGAUCAAUAACCUUAAAUGUGAUAAAAAUUGCCCUAACCAAUCUAUUUGUUCUGGGAUUCCUGCCUACAAAUGAACAUAGUGUAAUUUCAUAUCAUCCCUUUUGUAAUGAAGAAAAAGAUCUUCUGGAAAGACCCUCAAAGCAAGCAUAAAAUUUGGCUUAAAACAUACAGAGGAAAUAAAAAAUACACAUGAACCCAGUUGCACGAUGGCUGGAGACUUGCUCUUUCACAAUUCUAAUUCUCAUCAUUCAGUACUAAUGCUCAUCUUGCUUUGUACUCCUGGGUGACUCAGAAGGAUGCAGACUGUGGUUUUGUGAAGUGCACUAACUUCAGCACUACCAUAAAGAACCCCCUGUUCUCUCACCUGUUACCAGUUUUGUUCUAUACAGACUUGCUGAACAGACACAUCUCAUAGUACAGCAGAGACCAGCCCAGGUACUAUGCACAGGAAACUGCUGGGGGAUGAGCUUCACUGGCUCACAGAGGUUCACUGCACCCUGCUCUCAUCAGCAGCAAAUCAUAAGAUCAGACACUUGCUCAAGAAAACACUAAGUCCUCAAAACACUGCUUGUCAAGUUGGAUCUCUAACCCAGGCUAACUUUCUUCAGUGUGAAAGUAACCAGAGCUAAACUGGUCUUAAACAGAUUCCUCUAAAAUAGCCAAAGCAGUUUCUUUUUGUUGACUUCUAAUCAUAAUUUCUCUGUACCUAUUUCUAGUAGUUCAGCCACAAUAGCUCAGUCCAGGCAAAACUGAACUGAUAUGAAACACUAGCAUAUAUAUGUCUUCAAGGAACGUUGUAAUUUUGCAAAGCCACUGCACUUGACUGAGAGAUAACAGUAAAAAACCAAAAAGAUAAUAAAUUCUAAACUUUUUGCAAAUGACUUUUGAAACAUCUAUUUCACGCCAUCAAGUGGCAUAACCAGGCAGUGCUAUUGUAAGAGUCAACAUUUCUAGAAAUUGCUUUCCAUGCUAAAAUUAAGAGUCACUCCAGCACACUCUCUUUAAAGGCAGCGGGUAAAGGGACAAUUAAAAAGGAGGUUUCAGCUUAAGAACACAUUAAAUUAUGAGUGUUUCAAAGAAAACUAUAAAAUAAGGCUAUUCACUGUAAGCCUUGAAUUUUGUGGGGCUUGUUAUCAAAUCUAACAUUAUCCAAAUUUUGUGAUGUACAUUCUGCAAUCUCAUCUUAAAGCUCAACAAAGCUCCUCUUAGCUAUUGCCUUUAAACAGUGUCACGUUUGAAAAAAGGAAGGAGGUGGAAAAAGCAAAAGAAGUGGAGCAAGCAGACAAAUGCUUUCAAACUUUACAGCAUUCACAAGAACAGCAAUUCUAGGACAACCUCAGUUACUCAAAAGAAACAAGAUUAAAUCCCUUGAGUGAGGGAAAAUUCACCUUCACUUUAAAAUAAAAAAUCCAACAUCCUCCAAAAAAUCCCUCUCUAGAUUCCAAUCAGAGUAAUUUCCUCCCACCAUGGCACUAACCUUUUGAAAGUUAUAUCAAGGUUUUUCUCUGAGUUCUUUGCCUCAUGGCUGUUGUUUAGCUACAGCCCACAGCUGCUAACAGUAUGUUUGGUUAGGUGGGAACCACAACCUAAGCCAGUGUCUAUGAGAGCUACCAAACUAUAAAGACCAUCAGCAAACUGCUGCUGAUCACUGCAUCAUAAAAACAGUGGGCAGUGCUUGGCAGGACGCAAGAGCUACAGCAGGGGAAGAAUGAAGAGAAGCAGCAUUGAAAAAGCUGAUCCACAACAACACGAUUAUGAAAGGAAUGAAACAGAAGUGCAGGUGGCCAGGAUGCCUAUUCACAUUGUUUUCCAUAUUUCUAUACUUUUACCUAGAAGUGUGAAGAGAUUUUUUUCAUAUCCUGAAAUUUACAUUCAAAAUUUGCAUUUGUGGUGGGAAAUAAAACAAGAAAAAGCCCAACCAAAAGAAAAGCCUCCCAAACCCCCCACCCUAAACACCCCAACAACUAGACCAUGUAACAGUCUUCACAGAAAUCCUAAUAAUUUGCCCUUUGAUGUCAAUGUUCUGUAAUAAAUACCCCUAUUAAAUACUCCAACUUUCAUUCUGGUCACUUUCUCUUGCUUUUCUUUCUUGCAAAAAAUGCACACAGCAGUCAGUUAACUCUAAGACAAAAUUUCAGUACUACUCUGUAUUUAAUAAAACACAAUGGACUACAUCAGCUAAACCAAUUUUCCAGUGAUUUCUAAUUUAAACUCACCUUUCUGAUUUGAAUACUUAAAACUUGCAUGCCAAAACGGUCUGCAAACCCUUGAAGGAAAGUGUUAUCCUACAUACACUGCCCCAGCUUCAGAGCAUUUGAGGAAAGUAAGAAAUAAAAACAGGACCAAAAUAAAUUUCUUCCAACAAUUUGUUGAAAGUGGUUUCAAAAGAAGUAAUUUGCUCAUCCUGCUGAGAAGAUUUACCAAGUCACUUCUACUGCACAGAAGACUGAGUUACUUUAUGGGUGAGAGCUGACAAACAAAAAGAGCUUUACUCAUCCAUAGCUGCAACUCUUGUCUGACUUGACAGAUCAAACUGAAUUGCUUUGUCAAUACACAGCUCCUACUCUCAGAAUUUGUUGAAACUAUUUUAGCUUGCAAAACACUGAUUUCUGUGUACAUAUUAACAAAAAAAAACCAGCUUUUUUUAUUAAAAGCUAUGUUUCAUUAUAUAGCUAAAACAAUUACUGAA